ACAUGACAGUCAAUUUUUUUGAGAGUUUGAUCCUGGCUCAGGAUGAACGCUGGCUGUGUGCCUAAUACAUGCAUGUCGAGCGGAGUUCUUCGGAACUUAGCGGCGAAUGGGUGAGUAACACGUACUUAACAUGCCCUCUAGAUUGGAAUAACGAUUAGAAAUGAUCGCUAAUGCCGGAUACUUAUAUCUUUCGCAUGAAGGAUAUAUAAAAGGAGCGUUUGCUUCGCUAGAGGAUUGGGGUGCGUAACAUUAGCUUGUUGGUAGGGUAAUGGCCUACCAAGGCUAUGAUGUUUAGCGGGGUUGAGAGACUGAUCCGCCACACUGGGACUGAGAUACGGCCCAGACUCCUACGGGAGGCAGCAGUAGGGAAUUUUCCACAAUGGACGAAAGUCUGAUGGAGCGACACAGCGUGCAGGAUGACGGCCUUCGGGCUGUAAACUGCUGUUAUAAGGGAAGAAAAAAUAAAGUAGGAAAUGACUUUAUCUUGACGGUACCUUGUCAGAAAGCAACGGCUAACUAUGUGCCAGCAGCCGCGGUAAUACAUAGGUUGCAAGCGUUAUCCGGAAUUAUUGGGCGUAAAGCGUCUGUAGGUUGUUUGUUAAGUCUGACGUGAAAACUUGGGGCUCAACCCCAAAUUGCGUUGGAUACUGGCAAACUAGAGUUAUGAAGAGGUUAGCGGAAUUCCUUGUGAAGCGGUGAAAUGCGUAGAUAUAAGGAAGAACACCAACUUGGCGAAGGCAGCUAACUGGGCAUACACUGACACUGAGAGACGAAAGCGUGGGGAGCAAACAGGAUUAGAUACCCUGGUAGUCCACGCUGUAAACGAUGAUGAUUAGCUGAUGGGGAACUCAUCGGCACAGCUAACGCAUUAAAUCAUCCGCCUGAGUAGUAUGCUCGCAAGAGUGAAACUUAAAGGAAUUGACGGGGAUCCGCACAAGCGGUGGAGCAUGUGGUUUAAUUUGAUGCUACGCGUAGAACCUUACCCACUCUUGACAUCUUCCGCAAAGCUAUAGAGAUAUAGUGGAGGUUAACGGAAUGACAGAUGGUGCAUGGUUGUCGUCAGCUCGUGUCGUGAGAUGUUCGGUUAAGUCCUGCAACGAGCGCAACCCUUGUCCUUAGUUAAAUGUUCUAAGGAGACUGCCCGAGUAAUUGGGAGGAAGGUGGGGACGACGUCAAAUCAUCAUGCCUCUUACGAGUGGGGCAACACACGUGCUACAAUGGACGGUACAAAGAGACGCAAUACGGCGACGUGGAGCAAAUCUCAAAAAACCGUUCUCAGUUCGGAUUGUAGUCUGCAACUCGACUACAUGAAGUCGGAAUCGCUAGUAAUCGUAGAUCAGCUACGCUACGGUGAAUACGUUCUCGGGUCUUGUACACACCGCCCGUCACACCAUGGGAGCUGGUAAUGCCCGAAGUCGGUUUUGUUAACUACGGAGACAACUGCCUAAGGCAGGACUGGUGACUGGGGUGAAGUCGUAACAAGGUAUCCCUACGAGAACGUGGGGAUGGAUUACCUCCUUUCUA
rnacentral:rRNA from 1 species